UGAUCGAGUACUUGUGAAAUCAUGUUAAAUAUUGCCACCGUCUGUCAGUGAGGAAUCUUAACCAGACGAUUUCAUAUCUAUUUUAACAGUGCGGGAGUAAUUUCCGAGGUAUGACUUCAGUGUGCUUACCUCUGGGCGUAAUCCUCGCAUCCGUCCUAACCUCUUAACCUCUUCGGCUUCUCUGCAUCUCCUAUUUGUUUCGGUCUACGUGUACCUUAUGCAUUCAAAACACGGCCAUCUUUACAGUGCUUGCUGCACUGCAAAGUUUUUGGAAGUAAUACCAAUAAUAUUUUGACAGGUUUUGAUGUGCCCUUUCAAGCAGCUUUUUCCAUCCAUGACCACUAGAAAUGGAUUCAGAGUGUUCCGGAGACUGCCUCCAUUUGGGUCAGCCAAGAAGCCCUGUUUCAUGCGGUGAAACCCACCAGGCAGCGCAACAGAAGGUUAAUUGUUCACCGAAUUCAAACCUGUUCUGUGUCAGAGGAUGAAGUUGUCUCCAUUCCUUUUGAAAUGGUAAUGCAGACAGUGUCAAUUUCCAACACACAUUCAACUCUUCAAGAAAAUAAAGGCCUUGGACUGAAGGAUGAGGCAAGGGUGCAGGUGCUGAAUUUGUGAAAUCAGCUUCUCCAGUUGUAAAGAAAAGCAAAGUUGGACGACAAGGCAGUGCUUUUGUGUGUUGAAGAAUCCCUCCCAGCUUUUUAUGGUAGUGGGACGGCCACUUGCUGACUGGAUGUGAAGGAGUCCGAAGGAGACCGGUGCAGCUCCUUAUGUAGGUAAGUUAUUGUUGUGCCCCUAUUGUCUUUCUGAGGGCAGCUUUAUUAUCUCUCGCACUGGGCUCGCCUAAUUUUUGUAUGUAACACUAUUUUCAGAUCAGGGGAGAAUGAAACAGUGGUGCCAUUACUUUGUCUUCAAAUUCAAGUCAUCCUGAAGGAUUUCUUUGAGCAAGUGCAGCAAGGCCCUGAAGAGUGCCUGGCCAUUGAUUCCUGAAGUCAGCAAGAACUUUUCACAUGAGACCAGCACUACUUCAGCAGUAAUAUGCUGAUGUGAUGGAUUACGAGAAUGGUUUCAGACUUUGGAGUUGGGAGGGCUGCUGAGUGUGUUUGUCAACUUUUGGUGAG